rnacentral:piRNA from 1 species
UCCACAGAGCAGUCUAUGGCCACCUUGAAA